ensembl:lncRNA
AGUUUCUCAAUGGGAAGAGUGUAGAUGUAGUAAACCGUCAUGUUCCCUCAGUCGGUGACUUUCCAGCUUUGCUUAAUCUGACUUGCUUAGGAUAAGAAAUUAGAAGCAGGUUCUGAUUUUUUGUUUGUUUCUUCUUAAUUCUGUGUGAGAUCAGAAGAUCCACAGAAGGUGGAAAAUGUCCACUGUAACAUCUGCGUUGCACUGCUGGAUUUGGAUGUCUGCCUGCCUCCUUGUGCCUGUGUCUACAUUCUCAUUAAGCGCAACAGUUCAAUCUGGAAUCAAUGUCCAUCUGUCAUGUUUUGCUUCUGUCUAUGACAAUAACAACAUCACUGCUGUACAGUGGAGCAGAAGUGACCUGGAGCCAGAAUAUGUCCUUUUGUAUCAGGAUGAGCAGUUUGUUACAGACAACCAGCAUCCAUCCUUUGUGAACCGGGUGGAUCUGGAGGACAGACAGAUGGAGGAUGGAGACGUGUCUUUGAUUCUGAAGGAUGUGACGACUGCUGAUAAUGGAACAUAUGAGUGUCGUGUCCAGUUGGCGGGAACAAACCGUGAAAAGAGAGCUGUUUUCAAGGGUAACCCCAUUUGCAGUGUAAACCUGAGUGUUGAUCCUCCAGGUGAGUGAGUAGAGUUGAGUGUGUGUGUGAUCAGAGGUGAAGCUGCUUCCUGGUUGUUGAUGUUUGUUUCUAAAGAUGUUGUUGAUGAGACUUUGUAGAAAGCAGCUGGUCUGAGUGAUGUGAUCAGAGUGCAGUAGAUAAUGUCUGACAGCAGUUUGAAGAGGAAAUGGAUUCUGUUCUGUUCUUCACUCAUCACCUACCUGACACACUUGUUUCUCACCUGCAGGUCCCCCGGACAUUCACAAAAAGGAUGGAGGAUUCAGAAUUAGAGUUGUUAUACAUCCAGCUAGUUUGACAGUUUUUAUUUUGCUUGUUGUUGGUGCAAUUGUUGGCUGUGUGAGCUGCAGAAAAUAUAGACAACGGCAGAGUCAAAGUUCUUAGUCUCAGACCUUUAAACAGCUAAAGUGUGAGUCAAACACAUCCUGAAUUUGGUGAUCAGUGUCUUAACACAAGAACAUUUUCUUUAUUUGGGCAUGUCAAGAACUUGUAACAGAACUUCAUCAUGAUGAAAAAUAAGAAUAAUAAAGAUUUCUUCAUCUCAAAA